rnacentral:lncRNA from 1 species
GAACUGAUGAACCACCAUGAACUGUUCAUGAAUGUUCAUGAACAAUGCAUGACUGUUCAUAAUGAGUUCAUUAAGUUUCGUUCAUGAAUUUAGUUCAUGAAUAGUUCAUAAAAUGCAGUUCAUGAAUAUUUUCUGAACUUUAAUGAACUGUAAGUCAGUUCAUAAUGUUCAUAAAUUGUUCAUAACACAUGUUCAUGAACAUUUUAUGAACUUUAAUGAAUAAAUGAAUACAUAAAGUUUAUAAAAAAAUUCAUAAAUUUGACUGUCAUACAAGUUCUCAUAAAAUUUGACAUCCAUUACAUUGUAUCAUGACAUCACAAUUAAAGUGCUUUUAGCAUGACCUCUAGUUUAUUCAUUUACAGAUCUUGAGAUCAUUUUGAGACAAAAUUCAGUUGAAUAGCAAAAGUGUAAAUACAUGUAUGAGGGGGAGGACAGGGGUAAGGGAGACAGGGAGGAAGGGUGUAGGAGAAAGGAGAAAGGGUGUAGGAGAAAGGAGAAAGGGGGUAGGAGAAAGGAGAGGAAGGCUGGGAGAAAGAGAAAAAGUUGGAGAAAAAAAAUAAAAUAUGAAAAAAUAAAAUAUCUCUCUUUUUUGUGGUAAAUUAAAGAAAAUAAAAUAAUCAUUAAAAAAAAAUCAUUUAACAACAGAUAUUAGCUCAGCACCUUUUUCUUUUUUUCAUACUAUGCCAGAAGAGUGUUACAUUUUUAGAGUCAUACAAAAUUUGGGACUCACUUUGAAGUUUUGUAACUUACUUUGAGCUGGAGAUGUUUCUCAUGUUUCGUUUUUACAAUCAUGACAAAUUUGGUAAACUUAAUUUCUUUCUUCUAAAGAUGUAAUUUCUGAUUGUCUCUCAAAGUUCAAACAUGUGCCUUUCUUAACCAUCAUACGGCACAUAGAGGAACUUGGAAAAUAAGGACAGAUUAAUGACAAUUCAUUCUUUCCCAAACAUUGCAGACUGGUGUCAAUAAUUAUCAUUAUUAAUGAAUUACGUUUACCUAUUGUAAAACGCUUCAAUGACUUUGACAAAAGAUUACAAUGUAGACAAAUGAUUACAAGUGACUGGGAAUAGAAAAACGUCAUAAUGACGUCAGCAAAAUGAUGUUUUUGACGCUUACAAUACAAAUGAAGAUGUUUGAUGAGGAGUGAAGUAAUAUAGCUGUCAAAACAAAGCAGAUUUGUUAUCAGAUAAGUAAAUUAUAUAUAUUUUGAUUAUAUUUUUUUUGCUGAAUAACUAUUUGUUGAAGCAUUUUAUAAUAAUUAUUGAUUAAUUAAAAUAAAUAUAAAACACCAGAAAGUAGCCUUUACAUUUUACAGUGUUAGUUUAAUGAUUUCCAUUCAGGAAUAACUGAUAGAUUUGUACAAUAUAUUGUAUUUCAAGGUAAAAAUAAUUCAUGCUUCAGCCACUCUUAUGAUUGUGUGUGGGUAAAUUAAAAGGGGAAAAAGGGGGGUAGGUACAUUAUUUGAAAUGUCAUGAAAAGGCUGAAGUGAUAUUCAUGUUAUUAAUCUUACUCUAUUGAUAUUUUAAUAAAAACAACAUUUAUUAAAUUAAAUUAUUACAUUGUAUUAUACCUGUUAGAAACUGUUUAAUCUUGAGUGCUUAUUUAUAAAAACAAAUAUCAAGGACUUUUGAUUCUUUGUGGAGUGAUUUUUGAUUUUGCAGGGGGAAACUCAGAUGCAUUUAUUGAUUAAAAGAUCUGUUCAACUGUGAAGAAUUUCAAGCAGAACAACUGCACCAAGAUGUUAUUUAGCAUUUCUAGUUGGAAGUCCUGAUACAGCAAUUUUAAUUACAGACAGGAAGAGAAGUUUACUUAUGAUAAUAACACA